GAUGAACGCUGGCGGCGUGCUUAACACAUGCAAGUCGAACGGUGAAGGCGGAGCUUGCUCUGCUGGAUCAGUGGCGAACGGGUGAGUAACACGUGAGCAAUCUGCCCCUGACUCUGGGAUAAGCGCUGGAAACGGCGUCUAAUACUGGAUACGAGCUGCGGAGGCAUCUUCAGCAGCUGGAAAGAAUUUCGGUCAGGGAUGAGCUGGCGGGCUAUCAGCUUGUUGGUGAGGUAAUGGCUCACCAAGGCGUCGACGGGUAGCCGGCCUGGGAGGGUGGCCGGCCACACUGGGACUGAGAGACGGCCCAGACUCCAACGGGAGGCAGCAGGGGGGAAUAUUGCACAAUGGGCGAAAGCCUGAUGCGGCAACGCCGCGUGAGGGACGACGGCCUUCGGGUUGUAAACCGCUUUUAGCAGGGAAGAAGCGAAAGUGACGGUACCUGCAGAAAAAGCGCCGGCUAACUACGUG
rnacentral:rRNA from 1 species